rnacentral:rRNA from 1 species
AAACCCCCUCGCCGAAAGACUAAGGUUUCCUGAUCAACGCUAAUCGGAUCAGGGUCAGUCGGGUCCUAAGGCUCAGCCGAACGGCGAUGCCGAUGGCAGAAACGGUUAAUAUUCCGUUACUACCUUCAGGAGUGACGUGGAGACGCAGUAGUGACAGUGCCGCCAUCUGACGGAAUAGAUGGUUGAAGGGUGUAGGAGUCGAUCAUGGCAGGCAAAUCCACCAUGAGAUCCGAACCUGACAGUAUGCCGCGUCCUUCGGGACAAGGCAAUAGUGCGCGUAAGCAUGCUGCCGAGAAAAUCCGCUAAACUUAAUCCUGCAGGUACCCGUACCGCAAACGGACACACGUAGUCGGGAUGAAUAUUCUAAGGCGCUUGAGUGAUUCACGGUUAAGGAACUAGGCAAACUGACCCUGUAACUUCGGGAUAAAGGGUCCCUACCCUUUUAUGGGAGGGCGCAGAGAAUCGGUCCAGGCAACUGUUUAACAAAAACACAGGGCUGUGCCAAAUCGAAAGAUCCAGUAUACAGCCUGACACCUGCCCGGUGCUGGAAGGUUAAGAGGAGAUGUCAUCGAUAAGAGAAGCGUUGAAUUGAAGCCCCAGUAAACGGCGGCCGUAACUAUAACGGUCCUAAGGUAGCGAAAUUCCUUGUCGGGUAAGUUCCGACCUGCACGAAUGGUGUAAUGAUCUGGACGCUGUCUCAACCGUGAGCUCAGUGAAAUUGUAGUAUCGGUGAAGAUGCCGAUUACCCGCGAUGGGACGAAGAGACCCCGUGAACCUUUACUAUAGCUUAUCAUUGAAUCUGGGCACGUGAUGUGUAGGAUAGGUCGGAGGCUUUGAAGCAGGUACGCCAGUAUUUGUGGAGCCGCUGUUGAAAUACGACCCUUUAUUUGUUUGGAUUCUAACCCGUGGAUACGGGGACAUUGAUUGGUGGGUAGUUUGACUGGGGUGGUCGCCUCCAAAAGCGUAACGGAGGCUUCUAAAGGUGCCCUCCGGCCGAUUGGUAACCGGCCUUAGAGUGUAAUGGCAUAAGGGCGCUUGACUGGGAGACUGACAAGUCGAUCAGGUAGGAAACUAGAGCAUAGUGAUCCGGUGUUUCCGUAUGGAAGGGACAUCGC